UGUCUAUCAAGGGCUGCACUUUGGAAAGUAGAUUUCUCUUUCCUUUCUAGCUAGGAUACAGGGAUCACUGAACUGGACUUUAAUGCAACUGAGAAUCCAUUCGUGGAAUGUAUAAAAUACAGUGAGAAAAGUGAUUGUAAAAAUGAUCCCAUGUUACUUCAACUGCUUAUCCCAGAUCCAGGGGCUCAGUGUAAGAGUCCAAGGUGCCCAAGGCCAAAAAGAGAAGUGAAAAUGGAUGCAUAUGGACCAAGGACGCAUGUGGAUAAAUCCCAAGUGUCCCAUACCAAGAGUGUUCAAUGGCAGGUGUAGAGUAGUCCGGACCCCACAGGAUCAGGGCCUUGACCUGGACUCCAUUAAGACAGAAUAAAUAGAAAUGAGGCUAGUCCAACAAACUCUUUUGCCUGUGAGUAACUUUAUGCAGAUGAACAGUCUUGUUGAGUUCACCUAACUAAAGUUACUCAUCAUGUGUGUAGGAUCAGACCCUGUAACUGUAUAUAAAGUUCAAUAAAA